rnacentral:misc_RNA from 1 species
UAGCCAUGUAAACUCAUCCACUCACACUCAUUGGAGGCACCAUUUAUUUUGCAAAGGUUAAUCAGGCAGCAUAUCCACCACAGUCAAGUCUGAAACUGACUUCCAGCACAUGUUGAAUUAAAAUAAAAAAAGCAAACCCAUAAGUUCUACUUGAGGUACAGUUACCAUUUUUUCCUAAUCUUUUCUGUAAUUCUAAAUGCAUUGAGAUCGAUGAUCAUCUGAUAUUAAAAGGAUGGUUGCAAAAGCUUAACUACUAAAGAAACUAUGCACAUAAAUGGAUCAUGUCAUGAAUCAUGAUGGCAUAUAUCAUAAAAGGGGGAAUUUCAGAUAGAAAGUUCAUCAAAAUGAGAUUUUUUAAAAUGUGUAGGGUAAAGAAGGCUAUUUAUAAAUCCCAAAAUAUA